AUGGCCAGCCAUAGCAAGAACAAAGGAAGAAAAGAAGAACAAAAACCCUAGAGUGAAAAUUCAAGAGAAAAUUGGUGGAUUUCAAGUAAUCAAGCCAUCAAAGGUGAAAUUUCUUAACUCUAGCUUGUGAUCUAUCUUACCUAUGCAUUAUUUUGCAUUUUUCAUGGUUGAAUCACAAGUUAUCAUGAAGGAUAGUGUGCUGAUCAAACCCUAGGAGAGAUAAUUUGAUGAUGAUUUAGAUAGAUUUUUAAGUUAUAUGGAUGUUUUUAGUUGUUUAUGGUGUUAAGUGUAAGAAUUAAGCUUGAAAUUCACAUAUUCCUCAUGAGUUCAUCAUUGGCCAAAUCUUCCUUGUAGAGUGUUGAUGGUGGAUUUGAUUUUAUUUCAAGUGAAUUGGUUAGGAAAUGAUGAAUUAUGGUGAGAAAAUCAAGUAGGAAAAAUCAUAGUGUUGAUGCACUCACCAUGGCCGAAAUUCUCAAGAAGAAAUGUGAGGAUGGUUUUGCUAAAUUUUAUGUUAUUUGACUUGUGUUUGGUGAUUUGAAGUAUUGGGAGAAAAAUGAAAUUAUUUGGAGUUAAAUUGGACGUAUUGGCCAAUUAAUCGGGUGAUAGAUCGAAUUAGGCCAAUACCAUUUUAUUUAGGUACAUAAUUGAAUUUAUAUUGAACAUCAUAUUUAGAUAGUUACCCGAGUAUUUCAUAUCCCAUUUCAUGCAUUAGUAUAAAGCCUGAAUUGGUUUUACAACGGUUUAGCACAAAUUUAGUAAAUGGCUUAUUGUGCAUUAUGUCUAGGUGGUGAGCUUUCUGGCAAAAGUAAAGAGAUAGUACCCGAGGAUCAAGAAUCGGAGUACUCGAAAUUCGACUCCUGAAAUAGUGAGUAACCUUAUCAUCAUCUUGAUUAUCUAAAGUGAAUUUUAAUUCGUUUUUAUGAUUUUAUGGAAAAUGAGUUUAAAUGGUAAAUCUUUAUGUUUUAUAAACAAAAUGUGUUUAAAUGAAAUGAUUUUAUAAAAUUGUCUUGAAAUUGAAUGAUGGUUUUGAAAAUGGAGUAAUUGGAGACUAAUUGUUGUGUUAUAAAUCAUGGUUUAAGUUGAAUGGCUUAUGAUAAUAUUGGCAUGAAUAGUUGAAUUGGUAAAUGUGUUGAAAAUGUAUGAACUAUUGAUUUGGCUUGAGAGACUGUAAAACAAAAUAAUUGUCAUGUCAUGCUGUUGAAUUUUAUUGAAUUGGUGGGUUAUAAAUUGGUCGCUGUAGUGGACGAGUUCUGUGGACUAGCCUAUUAGAGG
rnacentral:lncRNA from 1 species